UACGAAGGGGGCUAGCGUUGCUCGGAAUCACUGGGCGUAAAGGGUGCGUAGGCGGGUCUUUUAAGUCAGGGGUGAAAUCCUGGAGCUCAACUCCAGAACUGCCUUUGAUACUGAGGAUCUUGAGUUCGGGAGAGGUGAGUGGAACUGCGAGUGUAGAGGUGAAAUUCGUAGAUAUUCGCAAGAACACCAGUGGCGAAGGCGGCUCACUGGCCCGGAUACUGACGCUGAGGCACGAAAGCGUGGG
rnacentral:rRNA from 1 species